GUGCUUAACACAUGCAAGUCGAACGGAAAGGCCCUUCGGGGUACUCGAGUGGCGAACGGGUGAGUAACACGUGGGUGAUCUGCCCUGCACUUUGGGAUAAGCCUGGGAAACUGGGUCUAAUACCGAAUAUGAUCAUGCACCUCCUGGUGUGUGGUGGAAAGCUUUUGCGGUGUGGGAUGGGCCCGCGGCCUAUCAGCUUGUUGGUGGGGUAAUGGCCUACCAAGGCGACGACGGGUAGCCGGCCUGAGAGGGUGACCGGCCACACUGGGACUGAGAUACGGCCCAGACUCCUACGGGAGGCAGCAGUGGGGAAUAUUGCACAAUGGGCGCAAGCCUGAUGCAGCGACGCCGCGUGAGGGAUGACGGCCUUCGGGUUGUAAACCUCUUUCAGCACAGACGAAGCGCAAGUGACGGUAUGUGCAGAAGAAGGACCGGCCAACUACGUGCCAGCAGCCGCGGUAAUACGUAGGGUCCGAGCGUUGUCCGGAAUUACUGGGCGUAAAGAGCUCGUAGGUGGUUUGUCGCGUUGUUCGUGAAAA
rnacentral:rRNA from 1 species